AUUGAACGCUGGCGGCAGGCCUAACACAUGCAAGUCGAGCGGAUGAAGGGAGCUUGCUCCUGGAUUCAGCGGCGGACGGGUGAGUAAUGCCUAGGAAUCUGCCUGGUAGUGGGGGAUAACGUCCGGAAACGGGCGCUAAUACCGCAUACGUCCUGAGGGAGAAAGUGGGGGAUCUUCGGACCUCACGCUAUCAGAUGAGCCUAGGUCGGAUUAGCUAGUUGGUGGGGUAAAGGCCUACCAAGGCGACGAUCCGUAACUGGUCUGAGAGGAUGAUCAGUCAAACCUGAAACGAGACACGGUCCCAACCCCCACGGGGGGGAAGAGGGGGGAAAUUUGGACAAUGGGCGAAAGCCUGAUCCAGCCAUGCCGCGUGUGUGAAGAAGGUCUUCGGAUUGUAAAGCACUUUAAGUUGGGAGGAAGGGCAGUAAGUUAAUACCUUGCUGUUUGGACGUUCCCAAAAAAAUAAGCCCCGGCUAACUUCGU
rnacentral:rRNA from 1 species